rnacentral:rRNA from 1 species
AACAAGGAUUCCCCUAGUAACUGCGAGUGAAGCGGGAAAAGCUCAAAUUUAAAAUCUGGUAGUCCUUGUGGCUGUCCGAGUUGUAAUUUAGAGAAGUGUUAUCCGCGUUGGACCGUGUAUAAGUUUCCUGGAAUGGAGCAUCAUAGAGGGUGAGAAUCCCGUCUUUGACACGGACUACCAAGGCUUUGUGAUACACUCUCAAAGAGUCGAGUUGUUUGGGAAUGCAGCUCAAAAUGGGUGGUAAAUUCCAUCUAAAGCUAAAUAUUGGCGAGAGACCGAUAGCGAACAAGUACCGUGAGGGAAAGAUGAAAAGAACUUUGGAAAGAGAGUUAAAAAGUACGUGAAAUUGUUAAAAGGGAAACGCUUGAAGUCAGUCGCGUUGGCUGGAAAUCAACCUUGCUCUUGCUUGGUGUACUUUCUAGUCGACGGGUCAACAUCAGUUUUGAUUGCUGGAUAAAGUGUAGGGGAAUGUGGCAUCUUCGGAUGUGUUAUAGCCCUUGCUCGUAUACAGUGGUUGGGACUGAGGAACUCAGCACGCCGCAAGGCAGAGUCUUCGGACUACUUUCGUGCUUAGGAUGUUGGCAUAAUGGCUUUAAUCGACCCGUCUUGAAACACGGACCAAGGAGUCUAACAUGCCUCCGAGUAUUUGGGUGGAAAACUCGAAUGCGCAAUGAAAGUGAAAGUUGAGAUCUCUGUCGUGGAGAGCAUCGACGCCCAUACCUGAACUUCUGUGACGGUUAUGCGGUAGAGCAUGUAUGUUGGGACCCGAAAGAUGGUGAACUAUGCCUGAAUAGGGCGAAGCCAGAGGAAACUCUGGUGGAGGCUCGUAGCGAUUCUGACGUGCAAAUCGAUCGUCGAAUUUGGGUAUAGGG